rnacentral:lncRNA from 1 species
CUUUACUGAAGUUGUUCCCUGAUGUUAUGAUAAAAAAGAAAGGGCCUGAGUCUAUGUAGUUGUAGUCUGGUGCCUGCUUUCAAAUGUUUAUUCUUAAAAAACCAAACAUACACCUGAUCCAAAAUGUUAUCAGCAGUUUUCUUUUAAAAGAAUACUUAAUUAGUUGUACCUUCUAGUUUAUUGCUGUUCCUGCAUAUGUGUGAUGCAGGACGCUAAUUCUGAUUGUUCUCUAAGAAUCCUAUACAGAAAUAUGGAUGAAGAUACUCAGAAGACACUACAUGUAACACUGCCAGCAGAAGAGUCCAGAAAUGGAUCUGUAAGCUACCUCCUUCAACUGACAAUGACUGUGCGACACUUGGACUCCCAGGAAAAGCCAUCUAGCACAGAUGGGGACAAAGAAAGGAAAAUAAAUGCUACAGUCAGGCUUAUAAAUCUCUUCUGAGACAGAUGCUAUAGAGUCCCCAAACACUGCUGAACUACCAGUUUCAUUUAAUGAGGUUGAAGAAAGUGAGAAAUAGAGAACAGACAGACAGAUUCCAGAUUCUCUAACAACCUGUGGCAGGACACUGCAUGCAAAGAAGAGAUGUCAUGACUUUGGUCUGUGAAGUAUGUGAAGCUAGUGGCCAUACACUCAGAUAAGGAAUAAAAAAGGCCUGCGCCAGAGCA